UACGUAGGGGGCAAGCGUUGUCCGGAUUUAUUGGGCGUAAAGAGCGUGUAGGCGGCCAUGCAGGUCCGUUGUGAAAACUGGAGGCUUAACCUCCAGACGUCGAUGGAAACCGUAUGGCUAGAGUCCGGAAGAGGAGAGUGGAAUUCCUGGUGUAGCGGUGAAAUGCGCAGAUAUCAGGAAGAACACCCGUGGCGAAGGCGGCUCUCUGGGACGGUACUGACGCUGAGACGCGAAAGCGUGGGGAGCGAACCGG
rnacentral:rRNA from 1 species